UGACAUUGAAUGCCUUGUCUCUGAGCAUGU
rnacentral:piRNA from 1 species